UUAGAAUACACCCCGUUCGACUGUGUAAAUGUGUUCUUUGAUCAACCAAACCUUGGUGAAUGUACAAUCAGGGGGAGCCUUGAUGCCUUCUCAUGCAAAGCAUGCAGGAAAUGAUUGUUGGCUUUCAAUAAGCUUUGAAUAUGAGGAACACAUACAAUAUAAUCAGCUGGUUAUCAGAAACAUCAUGAGCAUGACAGAGAAAUGUGGAUCAUGUGCGAACUUGAAGAUCAAAGGCAAUUGAAGG